ACACUGGUGGUUCAUUGGUAGAAUUCUUGCCUUCCAUGUGGGAGAACUGGGUUUGACUCCCAGCCAGUGGA
rnacentral:tRNA from 1 species